UACAAAAGAAUCCGAAAAAACUGC
rnacentral:siRNA from 1 species